GGUGGCUCAGUAGUAAGUAGAGCGCUUGCCUUGCAUGCAUGAGGCCCUGGGUUCCAUUCCCCAGCACCA
rnacentral:tRNA from 1 species